ACUACGGGAGGCAGCAGUGGGGAAUAUUGCACAAUGGGGGAAACCCUGAUGCAGCGACGCCGCGUGAGUGAAGAAGUAUUUCGGUAUGUAAAGCUCUAUCAGCAGGGAAGAAGAAAGACGGUACCUGACUAAGAAGCCCCGGCUAACUACGUGCCAGCAGCCGCGGUAAUACGUAGGGGGCAAGCGUGAUCCGUAUUUACUGGGUGUAAAGGGAGCGUAGACGGCUGUGCAAGUCUGAGGUGAAAGCCCAGGGCUCAACCCUGGGACUGCUUUGGAAACUGUGGAGCUAGAGUGCUGGAGAGGUAAGUGGAAUUCCUAGUGUAGCGGUGAAAUGCGUAGAUAUUAGGAGGAACACCAGUGGCGAAGGCGGCUUACUGGACAGUAACUGACGUUGAGGCUCGAAAGCGUGGGGAGCAAACAGGAUUAGAUACCCUAGUAGUC
rnacentral:rRNA from 1 species